rnacentral:tRNA from 9 species
CGCGGAGUGGAGCAGCUCGGUAGCUCGUCGGGCUCAUAACCCGAAGGUCGUAGGUUCAAAUCCUGCCUCCGCAACCA